rnacentral:rRNA from 1 species
AGUGAACGCUGGCGGUAGGCCUAACACAUGCAAGUCGAACGGCAGCACAGUAAAAGCUUGCUCUUACGGGUGGCGAGUGGCGGACGGGUGAGGAAUACAUCGGAAUCUACUUUUUCGUGGGGGAUAACGGAGGGAAACUGACGCUAAUACCGCAUACGACCUACGGGUGAAAUCAGGGGAUCUUCGGACCUUUCGCGAUUGAAUGAGCCGAUGUCGGAUUAGCUAGUUGGCGGGGUAAAGGCCCACCAAGGCGACGAUCCGUAGCUGGUCUGAGAGGAUGAUCAGCCACACUGGAACUGAGACACGGUCAAGACUCCUACGGGAGGAAGCAGUGGGGAAUAUUGGACAAUGGGCGAAAUCCUGAUCCAGCCAUACCGCGUGGGUGAAGAAGGCCUUCGGGUUGUAAAGCCCUUUUGUUGGGAAAGAAAAGCAGCAGGUUAAUACCCCGCUGUUCUGACGGUACCCAAAGAAUAAGCACCGGCUAACUUCGUG